CAUCGCUCCCUGGACCGAUCCACCACUUCACGCUUAUCUAUGACCUAGGGUUACUGACAGUGGCCACAUCCUGAUUGCUGGUAUUAUGAUGGCUGCCCCUCCAAAGAGAGAAAGUGUGGAGGUUAACUGUGUCAGGGCCACGAGGCUGGAAGGAGAGCAUAUAUGAAGAUGCACCUUUGAUGAAAAUAUACAUCAUUUACCACACAGGCCAUGCCAAAGUCAAAGAAAAUUGUUCCUGCAAAUGUAAGAGUCUGAGUUCAUAAGACUGAAAUGGCUACAAGGAACUCUCAAAACUUAAGAGGAAGUGAUAAAGAAUGACUGCUGAGACAAAGGAGUGGAAAAGUCUCUUCAAAUAUUUUUCCUUCAGGGCAAGUUUGAGUAAAUAACCCAA
rnacentral:lncRNA from 1 species